CUUGAUCGAACCCAGUCGCAGCGGGCGGUCCUCGGGGCGGUCCUGGCCGUAGGCGGCGAGCAGGGCCUGCGCCUC
rnacentral:antisense_RNA from 1 species